UACGGGGGGGGCAAGCGUUGUUCGGAAUUACUGGGCGUAAAGGGCUCGUAGGUGGCCAACUAAGUCAGACGUGAAAUCCCUCGGCUUAACCGGGGAACUGCGUCUGAUACUGGAUGGCUUGAGUUUGGGAGAGGGAUGCGGAAUUCCAGGUGUAGCGGUGAAAUGCGUAGAUAUCUGGAGGAACACCGGUGGCGAAGGCGGCGUCCUGGACCAACACUGACACUGAGGAGCGAAAGCCAGGGAG
rnacentral:rRNA from 1 species